UUUGUACUCCCUCCGUCCCAAAAUUCUUGUCUUAAAUUUGUCUAAAUAUGGAUGUAUCUAGUUACAUUUUAGUGUUAGAUACAUCCGUAUCUAAACAAAUGUAAGACAAGAAUUUUGGGACGGAGGGAAUACUAC
rfam:Triticum aestivum genome assembly, contig: Triticum_aestivum_CS42_TGACv1_scaffold_592563_7BS